GAUGAAGAACGCAGCGAAACGCGAUAGUUAAUGUGAAUUGCAGAAUUCAGUGAAUCAUCGAAUCUUUGAACGCACAUUGCGCCCGCCAGUAUUCUGGCGGGCAUGCCUGUUCGAGCGUCAUUUCAACCCUCAAGCCCAGCUUGGUGUUGGGGAUCGGCACAGGCGCCCUCGGGCGCCCGCCGUCCCCUAAAUCUAGUGGCGGUCCCGCUGCAGCCUCCUCUGCGUAGUAGUUUUCUCCUCGCAAGGGCAGCUCGGUGGCGACCUCGCCGUAAAACCCCCAACUUCUGAAAGGUUGACCUCGAAUCAGGUAGGAAUACCCGCUGAACUUAAGCAUAUCAAUAAGCGGAGGA
rnacentral:misc_RNA from 1 species